rnacentral:rRNA from 1 species
AUGGCACCGCCCGCCAUGGCGUUCCAGGCGCUCACCUUCUCGCCCCUCCCCCUCCACCUCCACGCCACGCGGCGCCGGGUCCGCGUGCUCUCCGUGGCGGCCGACCAGACCCCUCCGCCCCCGCAGGCCUCCCCCUCCGAGCCGGCGAACAGCCCGAGCCGGCUCCUCCGGGAGCUCGCGCAGCGGAAGAAGGCCGUCUCGCCCAAGAAGAAGCACCCGCCGCGGCGGUUCAUCCUCAAGCCGCCGCUCGACGACGAGCGCCUCACCCAGCGGUUCCUCAACAGCCCGCAGCUGUCGCUCAAGUCGCUCCCGCUGCUCUCCUCCUGCCUCCCCUCGUCGCCGCUCUCCGCCGCCGACCGCACCUGGAUGGACGAGUACCUCCUCGAGGCCAAGCAGGCGCUCGGCUAUCCGCUCGCCCCCUCAGAGACGCUCGGCGAGGGCGACGACUGCCCCGCGGUCCACUUCGACGUCCUCCUCUACCUCGCCUUCCAGCACCUGGACCCCUCCUCCGAGCGCACGCGGACGCGCCACGUGCGGAACGGCCACUCCAGGCUGUGGUUCCUGGGCCAGUUCGUGCUGGAGCUCGCCUUCUGCGAGUUCUUCCUGCAGAGGUACCCCAGGGAGUCCCCUGGCCCAAUGCGGGAGCGGGUGUUCGCGCUCAUCGGGAAGAAGAUGCUGCCCAAAUGGAUCAAGGCGGCGAGCCUGCAUAAUUUGGUGUUUCCUUACGACGAUUUGGAUAAGAUGAUACGCAAGGACAGGGAACCGCCCACGAAGGCUGUGUUCUGGGCAUUAUUUGGAGCUAUAUAUCUGUGCUUUGGAAUGCCUGAAGUCUAUCGUGUUCUCUUUGAGGCGUUCGGGAUGGACCCUGAAGAAGAGAGCUGUCAGCCAAAACUGCGGCGUCAACUAGAAGACGUUGAUUAUGUUUCAGUGGAGUUUGAAAAGAGACAACUCGCAUGGCAAGAUGUUGCUGCCUACCGGCCACCAGCGGAUGCUCUUUUUGCUCAUCCUAGGCUUUUCCGGGCAUGUGUGCCACCAGGCAUGCAUCGUUUCAGAGGGAACAUUUGGGAUUUUGAUAAUAGACCCAAAGUCAUGAACAUCCUAGGAUAUCCCUUGCCGGCGAAUGAUAAAAUUCCAGAAAUUACAGAAGCAAGGAAUAUAGAACUUGGACUUGGCCUCCAGCUGUGCUUCAUGCAUCCCUCAAAGUACAAGUUUGAGCAUCCAAGAUUUUGUUUUGAGCGUCUGGAAUAUGUUGGCCAGAAGAUUCAGGAUCUAGUAUUGGCAGAAAGGCUGCUCAUGAAGCAUCUCGACGCGCCUGGCAGGUGGCUGUCAGAGAAGCAUAGGAGGUUGCUGAUGAACAAGUAUUGCGGGCGGUACCUGCGGGACAAGCACCUUCACCACUACAUUAUAUACGGGGAGACUGUACAGGACAGAUUCGAACACAACCGCCGGCUGAGAAAUCCUUCCACGACUGCCGUCCAGCAAGCGAUACAUGGGCUCUCGUACUGCGUCUACGGCAAACCUGAUGUGCGGCGCUUGAUGUUCGAGGUGUUUGACUUUGAGCAGGUCCAGCCGAAAGCUGUAUGA